rnacentral:lncRNA from 1 species
UUUUUUUGUUUGUUUUUUUUAACAAAGAAAAGAAAAGAGAAAAGAGAAAAACAACACACAUAUUUAAAACAUACGUCAAUUAUCCCCACCCCACAAUCUAAUCUAAACAUUAUCUUAACAGUUUAUAAUUUUAUAGAUAUGCAAAAAGAAAAAAAAUAAAUAAAAAUAAAAGAGAAUAAUAAAAGAAGAAGAAGAGGAGAUCUCACCUGAACUUGAUGCAGAAGCUUAAAAGUAAGUAACAAAGAUGAAGAAAAAGUCAAUUUUUUUUUUUAACAACACCCUUAAGAUUAAGAAGAUGCGUUUCUAGAGAGACUACAUUCUCUAUAUCCUGCCAUCUUCGACUCAAAUUUGUCCUAAGUGUAGAAGACAUCACAUGAACACUACAACAGAAAAUAUUUACAAACGGAGAAUUAAAUCUAAAUCGCACUUUUUAUUACUGCUACUGUUACCGUUACCGUCAUUAGUUGACCAAUUCAGUGCAACAGUCUGUGGAUUUGGCUCUGGUGUAUAAGCUUGCAAAAGAUCAAGUAACUCAU